ACGGCUCAGUAACACGUCGGUAACCUACCCUCGGGAGGGGGAUAACCCCGGGAAACUGGGGCUAAUUCCCCAUAGGCCUGAGGUACUGGAAGGUCCUCAGGCCGAAAGGGACUUAUGUCCGCCCGAGGAUGGGCCGGCGGCCGAUUAGGUAGUUGGUGGGGUAAUGGCCCACCAAGCCGAAGAUCGGUACGGGCUGUGAGAGCAGGAGCCCGGAGAUGGACACUGAGACACGGGUCCAGGCCCUACGGGGCGCAGCAGGCGCGAAACCUCCGCAAUGCGGGAAACCGCGACGGGGGGACCCCGAGUGCCGUGGCAACGCCACGGCUUUUCCGGAGUGUAAAAAGCUCCGGGAAUGAGGGCUGGGCAAGGCCGGUGGCAGCCGCCGCGGUAAUACCGGCGGCCCGAGUGGUGGCCGCUAUUAUUGGGCCUAAAGCGUCCGUAGCCGGGCCCGUAAGUCCCUGGCGAAAUCCCACGGCUCAACCGUGGGGCUUGCUGGGGAUACUGCGGGUCUUGGGACCGGGAGAGGCGGGGGGUGCCCCUGGGGUAGGGGUGAAAUCCUAUAAUCCCAGGGGGACCGCCAGUGGCGAAGGCGCCCCGCUGGAACGGGUCCGACGGUGAGGGACGAAGGCCAGGGGAGCAAACCGGAUUAGAUACCCGGGUAGUCCUGGCUGUAAAGGAUGCGGGCUAGGUGUCGGGUGAGCCUCGAGCUCGCCCGGUGCCGUAGGGAAGCCGUUAAGCCCGCCGCCUGGGGAGUACGGCCGCAAGGCUGAAACUUAAAGGAAUUGGCGGGGGAG
rnacentral:rRNA from 1 species